rnacentral:rRNA from 1 species
UACGUAGGGUCCAAGCGUUAUCCGGAAUCACUGGGCGUAAAGCGUGCGUAGGUGGAUGCUUAAGUGAGUUGUUAAAUCGUGUGGCUCAACCAUAUCGAUGCAAUUCAUACUGGGCGUCUAGAGGACAGCAGAGGCAAGUGGAAUUUGUAGUGUAGCAGUGAAAUGCGUAGAUAUUGGGAAGAACACCGGUGGCGAAGGCGGCUCACUGGCUCGUAACUGACGCUCAUGCACGACAGCGUGGGGAUCAAACAGG